UUUNNNNNNACGUAGAUGCUAGUCUUUAAGAUUAAGCCAUGCAUGCUAAGUGAACCUGUACGGGGGAACGGCGAACGGCUCAGUAAUGUUGCGGUGAUUUGCUCUAUAUGAUAAGAAUAACCACGGUAACCUGUGGCUAAAAGUGUAGAAUAAGGCGCAAUCCUAUCAGUUUGUUGGUAGUGUAAAGGACUACCAAGACUACGACGGGUGACGGGAAAUCAGGGUUUGAUUCCGGAGAGGGAGCCUGAGAGAUGGCUCCCACGUCCAAGGACGGCAGCAGGCGCGAAACUUAUCCACUCUUCUGAGAGGAGAUAGUUAUGAGACGUGAUUUAAGGGUUGAGUGUAAAGAACUCGACGUGAAGCAAUUGGAGGGCAAGUUUUGGUGCCAGCAGCCGCGGUAAUACCAACUCCAAGAGUGUCUAUGGUGGGUGCUGCAGUUAAAGGGUCCGUAGUCGUAGAUGCAAUUAAAGGGUGGUGCUCAAGACCAUUAAGUUUGUUGUUUUUAGCGGAACGGAUAGGGAGCGUGGUAUAGGCGGGCCAAGAAUGAAAUCUCAAGACCCCGCCUGGACCAACUGAGGCGAAAGCGACGCUCUUAGACGUAUCUAAGGAUCAAGGACGAAGGCUAGAUUAUCGAAAGUGAUUAGACACCGCUGUAGUUCUAGCAGUAAACGAUGCCGACAGCUCCUGCUGCGAAAGUGGUGGGAGCAAGAGAAAUCAUAGUUUUCGGGCUCUGGGGAUAGUACACUCGCAAGAGUGAAACUUAAAGCGAGAUUGACGGAAGAACACUACCAGGAGUGGAUUGUGCGGCUUAAUUUG
rnacentral:rRNA from 1 species